UACGGCACAAAGUUUUAAUUCAAAAGCAUUCGCGUAGUGGCGCAUAGUGCUUUAUCGUGAUUCUCGGCAUAUUUUCGGUAUUGUAGUUUUUUGACAUGCACGGUGUAAAAGUGGCGUGGGUUCACGAAAAACCCAUUUUCUGUGAUUUUCCUCAAUUUUCCGGCAAUGUAUUCGCGUUGCCUCUGAAAGUGAUGAAAAAAGAUCUGUGUUGGACUUUUCAAGGACAUCGUAUACAUCCGGAACUAAAAUUUCACCCCAGGUUAGAUUAGUCCAUAAUUUUAUUUGCAUUUUAAUUAUUUUGGGUUCUAAAUGUGUCGGAAUCUCAUCUUCAUUCAGCUAAACACGGAAGCCAGAUGCAGAAAUUGGAAAAGAUCUGUAAUUUCUUUCAUCUUCACUACAACCGGAAGCCCGAUCCAAUACUACCUCUUAGGACGAUACAAAAUAGAACAAUGCAGGAAGGAAGCUUCAGAAGGUUCAGAAGCAAUUACAUUGCACUGGAUUUUCACAUCCUUGUCGGUCUUGAAUUCCCGUAAUCCACCACCAAUAAAUGAUACAUCAAAACUGGAGCUCUGAUUUAGAAUUUCAGUUGUUGAGACCAUCUCCAGUAAAGCAGCAAAGGAAAACUGAACAAAGGGCAACGGUGGAAUGGUGAGAAAAUAAUAUUGUAAUUUUAAAUGUAAAAUAAAAUAUUUUUUAAUAAAAAAUAUAUUAAAAUUAAAAGAAAUUCGAGUUUUUUUUCAAUUUUCGGUUACAAAAACGGUCGGAAUAUAAAUUUAAACAAUGCCGAAAAUGUGCCUAGAUUAUCUUUUGUACAUAGUGCCCGUGCCGAGAAAUGUACCGGACGUGUGCCGAGAAUCAUCCCGAGAAUUCAUAUAGAAGAAAUUCCCACGCUUUUCAAAAUCCAUACGAUUCUCGGCAUGUUUCCGGCAAAUACUCGGCAUUGGAUUAUCACGAGAAAACAUGCCGAUGUGCCGAGAUUCUAGUGACUAGAAUAUGCCGAGAUUCCCCA